rnacentral:rRNA from 1 species
UGGCUCAGAACGAACGCUGGCGGCGUGCCUAACACAUGCAAGUCGAACGAGAAAGGGGCUUCGGCCCUGAGUAAAGUGGCGCACGGGUGAGUAACACGUAGGUAACCUGCCUUUGAGCUUGGGAUAACCCCGCGAAAGUGGGGCUAAUACCGGAUAACAAUGGGGCUCUCAUGAGCCUUAUUUGAAAGGCUUGCUACUGGGAGAGGGGUCUGCGCGGCAUUAGCUAGUUGGUUUUUUUACUGCUCACCAAGCGAAAGAUGCCUAGCGGGUCUGAGAGGAUGAUCCGCCACACUGGUCCUCAGACACGGGAAUGACUCCUACUNGAUCCAGCAUGGGGGAUUU